ensembl:lncRNA
GAGUCAGACUCGGAUAGCGACCUCUCAUUGGACGACGCCUCCUACGGCUCCUCAGAAAGUGACGAGGAGCGGCGGCGACGGAGACAGCAUCGCCAUGACAACGGGAGGGCUCCUGAGGCUAGCUCGCCAAAAGGCAAGCUACGCACCAAUCAGAAGGAGCCUUACUGGCCAGUAGACCCGCCCACCGCCAGCGAGGGGGGAGGAGUCCAGCAGAGUGGAGACGCUGCGUGUUGAGACAAGGGUUGCCGUGGAGACAGGGAGAGUAUGGAAAGACUCGUCCCUGCCCAGCUCCCCUGACAACCAAUCGGAGAGGAGACGAGGCAUCCUGAAGAAGCAGACAGCGUACCCCCCUGAGGUGGCGGACAAGAACCUCAGGAACCUCCUCAGGGAGCGGCUCCACGACUCCCCCUCCCUCUCCAUCACCCCCCCCCCCCCCCCUCAGAGGCCUUCGCCUGGUCGCUGGGGGCAACCUCCUCCCUCAUCCCCCCCUGUCCCCACGGCAACGCCAUCCCAACGGGGUCUCCCCGGUUACCCCUAAGGAGCGGAACUCGGACUCAGAUGACAGCAAUGAAACCUCAAUCUGACCUCAAGGACAUCUGACCUAAAGGAGAUGGUCUGGAGGAACCGGUCUGGUCCCUGGAGGUCUGAUCUCCUGGUGGGCUGGAGGAACCUGUCUGGUCCCUGGAGGUCUGAUCUCCUGGUGGGCUGGAGGACCCUGUCUGGUCCCUGGAGGUCUGAUCUCCUGGUGGGCUGGGGGACCCGUCUGGUCCCUGGAGGUCUGAUC